UACGUAGGCAGCAAGCGUUGUUCGGAGUUACUGGGCGUAAAGAGUGCGUAGGUGGUGCCCUAAGUCUGUUGUGAAAUCUCCCGGCUUAACUGGGAGGGUGCGGUGGAAACUGGGGUGCUUGAGUGUGGGAGAGGUAAGCGGAAUUCCUGGUGUAGCGGUGAAAUGCGCAGAUAUCAGGAGGAACACCGGUGGCGAAGGCGGGUCUCUGGGCCGAUAUUGACGCUGAGGAGCGAAAGCGUGGGGAGCAAACAGG
rnacentral:rRNA from 1 species